UAUAUUAUUAAUAUUUAUUUUUAUUUUACAUUAAAAAUGGAUACAACAUUGUAUAACCACGUGUAAAAGUAUUCCUCUCGUUUUUAUAUACAUACAUAUAUAAUGUAAAGUUGUGUGCGGUGCAUUUUUACAUAUGUACAUAUGUACCAAUGCAAGUACACUUUAAUAUAAUAUAUAAGCUUAUACAAAUUAAUGUGCUAACGUAGUUAAUAUUGUUAAUGUUUAAUUAUUGCAAUCGCGCUUUAUUAGUUACAGUGAAAUCACUGAUGGGUAUGAAAAAUUCUUAUUGAAUUGUGUUAAAUAUAGUUUUAGAAUAAUGGAACAGGAUGCACUUGUUGCCUAAAGAACCAGAUUAAAAAAAGAGAGGAAAGAACUCUCUAACGCAGAACGUCAGAGUCAUUCAAUUUAAAAUUAUUUAUAAGUUUGAAAAUAGGCUUGGUACCAUCCACUUGGCCUGCACCUGCAGCUGGAUUUGGCCCUUCCUUGCUUGCUUCUUAUUUUUUCUACUGUUAGCGUAUUCUUUAAUGCUUUCAGAAAUUGCUAUGUCAGUUGAUAUACGUAAUUACAACGAAAACAACCAAAAUUUAAACAACAACAACAAGGACGAUAAUAAUAAUAACAAAAACACCGAAUACAGCCCGUCGGUCGCUAAUGAAUCCCGUUUCCUAAACGCUUUUUCGGAAGAAAAACGAUCGCUCUCCGUGGAGCAAGCGAGGGAUGACGUUAUGCCCUCGUCGGUUGCUAAUGAAUCCAGUUUCAUAAACGUUUUUUCGGGAGAAAAACGAUCGUUCUCCGAGGAGCAAACGAGGGAUGACGUUAUGCCCUCGUCGGUUGCUAAUGAAUCCCGUUUCAUAAACGUUUUUUCGGGAGAAAAACGAUCGUUCUCCGAGGAGCAAACGAGGGAUGACGUUAUGCCCUCGUCGGUUGCUAAUGAAUCCCGUUUCAUAAACGUUUUUUCGGGAGAAAAACGAUCGUUCUCGGAGGAGCAAAUGAGGGAUGACGUUAUGCCCUCGUCGGUUGCUAAUGAAUUCUGUUUCCUAAACGCUUUUUCGGAAGAAAAACAAUCGCUCUCCGAGAAGCAAGCGAGGGAUGACGUUAUGCCCUCGUCGGUUGGUAAUGAAUCCCGUUUCAUAAACGUUUUUUCGGGAGAAAAACGAUCGCUCUCCGAGGAGCAAACGAGGGAUGACGUUAUGCCCUCUACCAGUGGGGUCUCGGUAGGUACACUUUGUGAAUCGCUCGCCGUAAGCACGUCCAACGCGAAGAAUGAUGGUAAAGAGAAAACAACAAUACUGUCCUCUAGCACAACAAUACCGUGCUCAAAAUCAGAAGAAUCACACCGGCCCUGCAAUGGAAUGGCGUCUAAAAGGAAGAGGGAGAGGAAGAGAAAAAGGGGAGGCAAACGUGGAGGGCUGAACGGUUCCCGCAAAGUGGGAAUGAGUGGUGCUACCGUCAAGUGGUACUUCAGGCAUCUGAAAGCGGGAAAAUCGCCUGAGGAGGCAAGUGAGCUUGCGUUGGGAAGGAAUAAAAUUGCGCUAGCGGUAGAGAAAAGUAGCCCAGUUACCGCAAUCUCGAGCAGGGUGGUAGGCGGGUGCGCGCCCUAUCAAGAUAGAAAGGGUGGUGCUGAGAAACGCAAGAUAACAGCAGAGGAGUUACCCAGCCUAAAAAAGCAGAAACAGAAUCUUCAUGAACAGCCGACGCAGUUGAAAGAAGAGCAAAACACUGUUCCAAAAACAGGCAUUCGGAUAGCCGUGCUACCUCUCAAUUAUCCUGUGGAAGCAAUGGAUCCACAACAACUUACUGUACUUGAAGAUAAAAUCAUGGACGAGGUGUACAAGGGGUGGAAACACGCUCUCUGCUUUUGCGGAGUGUUUUUUAGGUCGGGACUGUUACUUGUAGACUGCAAUAAUGAAGAGACCGCCACCUGGCUGGCGGAGGUUGCUCCGAAGCUUGAGGGGUGGGAAGGUCCAUUGCUCAGUGCGAGAAGAGGGGAAGAGAUACCACGGAUGUACAAAAUGAGAUCACGCCUACACAAUAGCGCCCAUAAAUCUGUGGACUACGCCUUAGGUCUUUUAAGAGUGCAAAAUGAGGGCAUCUAUCCCAAGGCUUGGCAAAUAAUUACCAGCGACAUUGAGGACUCAAGUCUGAAAAUCAUCGUCGGUAUCGAUGAGGAGUCCUACAUGCAAAUUAAAAAACAAGGUUUCCGCCUGAACUACCGGUUCAGUGCGAUUUUCAUGCGGCCUUUAAAGCCAAUGUCAAAAGUUGAAAGAGCAGGGGUGUCUGAACCUGUGUAUUGGUGAGUGAGAAACAUUCUUCUCUACUCAGGAGCUCAUGGAGGGCUCAACCUACAUAAAAAGUGACACCGCGUAUAUAAUAUAAUACAAUAUAAUAUAAUAUCAUUCAUUCCAUGAACUGGAUUUUUUUUGUUUUAAAUUCGGUUGUGUUUUUAUAACUGAAAGACUUGAACUUGUAUUGGCUAAUUUGCUAUCUAAUAAAAACUGUCUGAUAUUCCCUAAUUCUUUUUGGAGAGUGGCGAAUCGUCCAAACAAUGAAAUAUACAAGUUCUUAAUCGCAUAACAAAGACAUAUAGAGCGUAUUUUUUUUUUGUGGAUAUCUUCACUAGUGCAAGGAAGUAUUUUAAAUUACAUAGAGAAAAUGAGAAUACAGCUAUUGCUGGACCGAAAAUAAAACAAUUUCUGAAGGCUUUAAUUGGUCUGGCUUCUCGAUAUUCUGACACAUAUCGAGGGACAAUCAGAGAGCUUUCGAUAACUUAAUCUAAAGAUAAAGAGGAGGAAGACGGCUGAAUCGUAGGAAUUGGCCCGCUGAUGCUUCAGCAAAAAAAGAACUCAAACCCUUUUUGUGAACUCAGUUAAUUAUCUUGAUUCUUGAUUGGGUUGCUGCAGAAUGCACUUCAUACUAGGAAACAGUUGAGAUGUAAAAACAGGCAAUGAGCUACGGAAAGAAGAGGAUGUCGGCAAUGUAUACGGAACUAGACCGCAGAUGCUUCAGCAAGGAAGAACAAAUCUUGUUUUGUGGAUCUUGAUGCCUAAUUGAGUUGCUGCGCACUUAAUACAGAAUACUGAAAAACAAUUGAGAUUCGAAACCCGACACAUACUUCAGAAACUGGAGGAGGGCGGCGAUAUCGAAGGAGUUGGACCUCAUUAAGAAAGAGAACCAAUCUUGUGUUUUGGAUCUUGAUGCCUGAUUGGGUUGCUACGGAAAACCGACACGUACUAGACGUAGAACGUAGAGGGCGGCGGCGAUAUCUAAGAAACUGGACCGCAGAAACAUUUGCAAGAUAGAACCAAACGCAACUUCGAUUAUACGCUGCUAGAGCUCUCGUUUGGCGCAGUGAUAUCAGCUAAAAGCGAAAACAUUCAAUUCGCUGCGGAAUGCCAAAGCCAAAUUUUAAUCUCACCGAUGCAACGAAUUCAUGGAGUCUCACAUAAAGUUGAACGAGAGCGCCACAGCCGAAACCAAGCGAAGCGAAAUGAGCAACAGUUGCCCACGACACAAUUUGACUUAGAGAGGUUGUCCAAACUCUGAAAUAGCUUAUAGCCGCGGCUAGCGGCUAGUGGCCUCAACACCAUCAACAAUCAGUUGCAAUAACGCGUUCAAACGAUUAAGAUCGGUACGGAACGCCAGUUGCUCCUGUUGUUGUGCCUGCUGGCUCCGUCAUUCCCAUUUAGUUACAAACUAGUUAGUUAGUGUGUGAGUGCGCUAUAUACAUCCAUAACUUGACCGGCCGUCUUUUUUCGCGCUUACUUGAUUUUGUUUUGAACCGCGAUCACGCUACAGUGGAGUUCAUUGUCUAAAACCAACUUAAAGCUCAAACAAAAACUCUACAAACCGUUAGUUACGACUAAGCAGUGAGACUAUAUGGCUAUUAGCUACACAUAAGUCGAUUACUAAAAAGUCAUAUGCAUACAAAUGUGUCUGUCUGUAGAUAUAUAAUUACAUAUGCAUGUACAGUAUGUAUGCAAAGUGCGAAAGUUGCGCGUCAGUGAAUCUCUAAUAAAUGCGUAAAACAAAAACAAUUACAAAAAAUAAAAACAAAAAACUAUAGGAAAUUCGAAACCUUGUCGCUUUUAAUCUAAAAGAAACUCCCUUUUCUCUUGUGCUAUUAUUUUCUAGUUAACCUAAGUGUACCCACUUCUGCAUCGAAGUUUUAUUAAAAGAAAGCAGCAAAAAAAAAAAAACAAAA